CCCCCAGCCAGCAGUGGCAACGUGCUCAGGUCCCCUUCUACACUGUGGAAGCUUUGUUCUUUUGCUCUUCACAAUAAAUCUUGCUGCUGCUCACUCUUUGGGUCCGUGCCACCUUUAAGAGCUGUAACUCCACAAAGGUCCGUGGCUUCAUUCUUGAAGUCAGCAAGACCAAGAACUCACUGGAAGGAACCAACUCUGGACAAAUCUUGGCAACCACGAAGGGACUAUUGCCAAGCUGCCAAGCAAUGGGAAACACUCAGGCACCAACAGCCUCACCCUUGAAAUGCAUCCUAAGCCACUGAGACCAAUUUGACCCACAAACUCUGAAAAAGAAGCGGCUCACUUUUUCUGCACUGUGGCCUGGCCCCAAUAUUCUCUCUCUGAUGGGGAAAAAUGGCCACCUGAGGGAAGUAUAAAUUACAAUACUAUCCUGCAGCUUGACCUUUUCUGUAAGAGGAAAGGCAAAUGGAGUGAAAUACCUUAUGUUCAAGCUUUCUUUUCAUUGAAGGA
rnacentral:lncRNA from 1 species